GACGAACCGAGCGAACGUUGUUCGGAAUCACUGGGCUUAAAGGGCGCGUAGGCGGGUGCUCAAGUCUGUGGUGAAAUCCUCCGGCUCAACCGGAGAACUGCCAUGGAUACUGAGUGUCUCGAGGGAGGUAGGGGUAUGCGGAACUAUCGGUGGAGCGGUGAAAUGCGUUGAUAUCGAUAGGAGCUCCGGUGGCGAAGGCGGCAUACUGGACCACUUCUGACGCUGAGGCGCGAAAGCAAGGGGAGCAAACGGG
rnacentral:rRNA from 1 species